rnacentral:rRNA from 1 species
UACGUAGGGGGGCGAGCGUUGUCCGGAGUUACUGGGCGUAAAGGGCAUGCAGGCGGUCAGGCGCGUUUUGUGUGACAGCGGAUGGCUUAACUAUCCGAGGAUACGAGAUACGGCGUGACUUGAGAGCGCGAGAGGGACACGGAAUUCCGGGUGGAGUGGUGAAAUGCGUAGAGAUCCGGAGGAACACCGAAGGCGAAGGCAGUGUCCUGGCGCGUAUCUGACGCUGAGGUGCGAAAGCCAGGGGAGCGAACGGG